GCUUGACCUCAAAUCAGGUAGGACUACCCGCCGAACUUAA
rnacentral:rRNA from 1 species